UGGCUCAGAGUGAACGCUGGCGGCAGGCCUAACACAUGCAAGUCGAACGGCAGCACGAGAGAGCUUGCUCUCUUGGUGGCGAGUGGCGGACGGGUGAGGAAUACGUCGGAAUCUGCCUUUUUGUGGGGGAUAACGUAGGGAAACUUACGCUAAUACCGCAUACGACCUACGGGUGAAAGCGGAGGACCUUCGGGCUUCGCGCAGAAAGAUGAGCCGACGUCGGAUUAGCUAGUUGGAGGGGUAAUGGCCCACCAAGGCGACGAUCCGUAGCUGGUCUGAGAGGAUGAUCAGCCACACUGGGACUGAGACACGGCCCAGACUCCUACGGGAGGCAGCAGUGGGGAAUAUUGGACAAUGGGCGCAAGCCUGAUCCAGCCAUGCCGCGUGUGUGAAGAAGGCCUUCGGGUUGUAAAGCACUUUUGUACGGGAAGAAAAGCAAUCGGUUAAUACCCGGUUGUCAUGACGGUACCGUAAGAAUAAGCACCGGCUAACUUCGUGCCAGCA
rnacentral:rRNA from 1 species